UGUCAAUCAAUAGCUCAGUCAGUAGAGCAUAAGACUCAUAAUCGCAGUGUCGUGGGUUUGAGCCCCACAUUGGCCA